rnacentral:rRNA from 1 species
GAUGAACGCUGGCGGCGUGCCUAAUACAUGCCAGUCGAGCGAACGGACGAGAAGCUUGCUUCUCUGAUGUUAGCGGCGGACGGGUGAGUAACACGUGGAUAACCUACCUAUAAGACUGGGAUAACUUCGGGAAACCGGAGCUAAUACCGGAUGAUAUUUUGAACCGCAUGGUUCAAAAGUGAAAGACGGUCUUGCUGUCACUUAUAGAUGGAUCCGCGCUGCAUUAGCUAGUUGGUAAGGUAACGGCUUACCAAGGCAACGAUGCAUAGCCGACCUGAGAGGGUGAUCGGCCACACUGGAACUGAGACACGGUCCAGACUCCUACGGGAGGCAGCAGUAGGGAAUCUUCCGCAAUGGGCGAAAGCCUGACGGAGCAACGCCGCGUGAGUGAUGAAGGUCUUUGGAUCGUAAAACUCUGUUAUUAGGGAAGAACAUAUGUGUAAGUAACUGUGCACAUCUUGACGGUACCUAAUCAGAAAGCCACGGCUAACUACGUG